rnacentral:lncRNA from 1 species
CUAAAGGAGUCAAGUGAGAACAGGGCCACAGGAGGGCACGGGCUGCAGACAAGUUUCCCUUCUAUGCCACCUGGCUCCCAACUUCAGCUGUGCCCGCCCAGUCUUUAACCUCAGCGCCUGCAGAUGGACCAGCCUACAGUGGUUGCUGCAAGUGAUUCUGCUCACCCUGCCCCAUCUCGCUCCGGUCCCAGCACGUCCAUGUCAUGAGGAAUCAGGAUUGCAGCUGAUAGACCCAAAGUGUGGUAUAGGUUACAGGAUCCUGCUUCCUAAGGAUGUGGGAAAUAGAAGCGCUGUACCUGAAAUAUCAAGCAUAUCUUGGCACCAAGAUGUCCUCUACCUUCUCUGCCCCGUCUUCUCCUCUCCCCUCUUGAGGAGAAUGUCGGGCCUCUAAGAAGUGACACCUAUAACCAUUGUAUAGGAUCCUGGAGAGCCCCUGUCCUAAGAGACCUUGACCUUUGGGCUCUCAAAGGUGACAAAUGCUGUCACACACCUCCUGGCCACCAAGGUAGCUCUCCUCUUGAAAGCUCAAAGGAGCCACAUUAAAGAGCCCCAGGUCACGGAAGCUAAACCAGAUCUGGAACUCACUGGUCCCCUCCCCGCAGCCUGCCUCUUGUCAAGUGAUCAGACUGUCAACUAGCUUCUCAGAAUUAGGUUUCAGGUCAGCUGGUGCACACGGCCAGUGCCGAGCCAGAGACAGCAGAGACAACAGUGAAUGGUGAGGACGGGCCGUCAGAUCCUGCUGCUACCUAAUGGAGUGGAGCCUUAGGGUGCCCCUGCACUACCCAACCUUGGCUAGACGCACAGGUAAGACCCCGUACUCUGCUCUCCUCUCCCUUCCAUGGAUGCUCACAGCCAGGAGCUUGCUGGGAUCACUCACCACUGCGUGAGAGACCAAGAGUGAGCCGGUCUAGCUCCCACCUAGUAAAGAUGAAGGAACUGCAGGCCUGGGGAGGGCCUUGACUUCCACAUCUAUGUGACUCCUCACAACUCCCUUGUUCUGCUGACUCCUCUGCUGGGAUCUUACAAAUGCCAGAUGAAAAGUGUCCCUCUCCUUUGGCCCAGGAUCCCCACGGAGCACAAAACCCUCUCCAGCAAGGAUCCUGGGGCCCUUCCUGGGUAGAGAUGAUGAGGGCACCUCUGGCCUGAAGCCUGGUCUAGAGCCCGUGGUCACUCUGUCUAGUGGCAUCCUUGAUGCGGAUGUAUUGUUGGAG